GUCGCCAUAGCUCAACUGGAUAGAGCAGAUCGGUUCUAACGAUAAGGUUGGAGGUUCAAGUCCUCCUGGCGGCA
rnacentral:tRNA from 1 species